rnacentral:rRNA from 1 species
AGGACGAACGCUGGCGGCGUGCUUAACACAUGCAAGUGGAGCGACGAACCAGGGCUUGCCCUGGGGCAGAGCCGCGAACGGGUGAGUAACACGUGGGUUACCUGCCUUGAUGACCGGGACAACCCGAGGAAACUCGGGCUAAUACCGGAUGUGCCCGCAAGGGGAAAGGAAGCUUCGGCCUCCGCAUCAAGAUGGGCCCGCGGCCCAUUAGCUAGUUGGUGAGGUAACGGCUCACCAAGGCUUCGAUGGGUAGCUGGUCUGAGAGGACGAUCAGCCACACUGGGACUGAGACACGGCCCAGACUCCUACGGGGGGCAGCAGUGAGGAAUUUUCGUCAAUGGGGGCAACCCUGAACGAGCAACGCCGCGUGCAGGAUGACGCUUUUCGGAGUGUAAACUGCUUUUCUCGGGGAAGAGCAAGGACGGUACCCGAGGAAUCAGCCCCGGCUAACUACGUGCCAGCAGCCGC